rnacentral:rRNA from 1 species
GACGAACGCCGGCGGCGUGCCUAAUACAUGCAAGUCGAGCGCAGGAAACUGACGGAACUCUUCGGAGGGAAGGCAGUGGAAUGAGCGGCGGACGGGUGAGUAACACGUAAGGAACCUGCCUCAAGGAUUGGGAUAACUCCGAGAAAUCGGAGCUAAUACCGGAUAGUUCAACGGACCGCAUGGGCCGCUGAUGAAAGGCGCUUCGGCGUCACCUUGAGAUGGCCUUGCGGUGCAUUAGCUAGUUGGUGGGGUAACGGCCCACCAAGGCGACGAUGCAUAGCCGACCUGAGAGGGUGAUCGGCCACACUGGGACUGAGACACGGCCCAGACUCCUACGGGAGGCAGCAGUAGGGAAUCUUCCACAAUGGACGAAAGUCUGAUGGAGCAACGCCGCGCGAGUGAUGAAGGUUUUCGGAUCGUAAAACUCUGUUGUAAGGGAAGAACACGUACGAGAGGAAAUGCUCGUACCCUGACGGUACCUUACGAGAAAGCCACGGCUAACUACGUGCCAGCAGCCGCGGUAA